UGGCCAAGAAUGUUUAUUUGUAGUUUGGAUUCUUUGUGGAUGUCAGUUGUUUGUUCAUAUAAUGAUGAUGGGCCCUAUUAUUAUAUGAGCCCACCUGAAGGUGGUCAACUGAUACUCACAGAAGAUCUACUCUGCACUAAACAUUCUUUAUGUGAUGAUAUAACUGGGGUAUUGAAGUGGUCCCUUUCCCUUUGCUGGAAGUUGCGUAUAUAAAGGAAUGAAGUAGCUACAAAAGAAGAUAGAAAAAGUUUGGUUAUAGCCGACAUCAUCAAUAGAAAAGGCAACUUUUCAAACGAAGUUUGUGGAGUGGGGUCAUCCUCCAGUUGGAUGUUGCUCUCUAACUUUACCUCAUUUAUAUGGUCGUUCACAGGUGAAUUUCCUUUAAAUCAGGCCUUGUCUGUUAUUCUAUGCAGCACGAAACUCGACUGCUACAUGGCAAAGGAACGCGGAAUUGUCGCAGAAAUUUUAUCUUUCAAACAUUUGGAGGAGGAACUCAAUUAACGUAUGCUGAGAUUUUCACUAGUUUCUAGACAGUGCCUGCGAGACACAAAGACGUUGAUGGUCAGCAGUAAUAUGAAGAACUUGAGUUUAAAAAUCACGAGGAAUGCGAUUUGUUUCAAAAGUACAUCAGCAACGAUGAUAUUGUGGAUUGCAUCGUAAGUUGAUGGUGGACGAGCUUACAGGAAUGACUUACCAUCCAGGUAUACUUGCGAUCAGACUUAUGGCUCGUGCUAAUAUUUAUUGUACAAAUAGGAUAGUGUGUCCCAAUGAUCCGUUUGUAACCGUUACGCAGCGGAAAUUGUAUUCCUAAUGAUCCGUUUGUAACCUUUACGCAGCGGAAUUUGUAGCGUUGUUUGUGUAAAUCAUUCGUAACUUGAGUUGAAUAACAAAACAUAUUCGUUCAUUUAACCACGAUUUUUAAAAUCUUUACUUUGGAGGAAAAAAUUGCGUUUUAAAUCAAGUUCCAAAACAUAGAAAAAAAAAUUUAGCUGGAAAAUUUCGAACACUCGUUCUGUAUCGUCGAAGUCAUUGAGACUUCAGUGUUUACUGCUGGCGUAACGGACUUCUUAGUCGCAAUAACCUUAUUUUCUUGCGCAUUUGUUGAAAAAUGAUGCAGUUGUUUAAAAAUAAGUGUAAUUAAUUAACGUAUUGUCACGUGACAUCAAGUAGAUAUUUUCCCAAGUGCUUUUGUACGCUUAACACUUUGGUGUAAAUGGUUUUUAUCAAACUGAAUAAAAUACACAGAAAGAAAA